rnacentral:lncRNA from 1 species
UGAGCAAUGAGAGAUCGAGCUGUUUCAGAAUUGGAGGGAGGAGGAAGGAGGAUGUAAUCGCACCGAAACCAAACUAAACACCAACACACCAGAACAUAGUCAACGGAACUGAACUGAAUGGGUAACCGAUAAGAAUAAAUCCAAGAUCAAGAGCGGAAAACAGUACCUAUUUGGUCAGAAUACCAGAAACAAGAAUAAUCAGAAACAUGGACAAGCAGAUUAUUAAGCCGAGCAGCCACCAAAAUCAAACUGAACACCAACACACCAGAACAUACCAGUCAUCGAAUAGUCAACGGAACUGAACUGAACUGGUAACGGAUAAGAAUAAAUCGAAAACAAUAGAGGAAAACAGUACCUAUUUGGUCAGAAUACCAGAAACAAGGAUAACCAGAAACACGGACAAGCAGAUUAUUAAGCCGAGCAGCCACCAAAACCAAACUGAACACCAACACACCAGAACAUACCAGUCAUUGAAUAGUCAACGGAACUGAACUGAACUGGUAACGGAUAAGAAUAUAUCGAAAACAAUAGCGAAAAACAGUACCUAUUUGGUUAGAAUACCAGAAACAAGAAUAACCAGAAACACGGACAAGCAGAAUAGAAAGCCGAGCAACCACUGAAACUAGAACUGAACACAAAAACAACAGAAAAAACCAGUCAUCGAGUAGUCAACGGAACUACACUUAACAACAAGAACUCAAAACCAAACAGCCACCGAAAUAGAACAGAACUGAACAUCGAAACCCAAGGAAACAAGUGAACCUACAUACACUAAAUUGGAAGAAGGAGAAAUGUCAGUCGGUUUGGUUAUAAGUAUGUUAGGGAAGGGGUUUUUGGUUUGGGUGGGAUGUUGGUUUAGGUGGGGUUUUUGGGGAGAGAUGGGUUGCUGGUUUGGGUGGGUUGUUGGUUUAGGUGGGGUUUUUGGGAAGGGGUUUUUGGGUAGAGUAUUGGGGACAUGAAACAAUCCUAAAUCGAAUUUAGGGAAUUGUUUGAAAAACAGUGGCCAAAUCUUUCUAAAUCAUCCCCGAUCCAAGAUCGGAGUGUUAACGAUCUAGAUAUUGGGAGACUAAAGACUUCUUAUGAAUUAAUGCUGAUCACCUGACCGCGGACGGAAGUCUCCGAUCAACAGAUCGGAGUUCGAUCUUUGAUUGAGAGACGGUACAACGCUACCAAAACGUAGCUUGGAAGAAUUCCGACGGAAGUAUGAAACUCAGGGAUGGAGACGAUCGCAGGUACAGGAAGUAUGCGUCUGGAGCUGGCACUUGAUUCCGCGAUGAGAUUGGGCAGAACGGAGCAGUGGGGAUACGGAUUCUGGACUGAAAACUGGAAACGGGAAAACUGAAAACUGGAGCAGCGCGAGAAUUUAGCCC